AGAUUUUCGGCCUGAUACAGAUUAAAUCAGAACGCAGAAGCGGUCUGAUAAAACAGAAUUUGCCUGGC
rnacentral:rRNA from 1 species